rnacentral:misc_RNA from 1 species
GAAAUGCGAUAAUUAAUGUGAAUUGCAGAAUUCAGUGAAUCAUCGAGUCUUUGAACGCACAUUGCGCCCCCUGGUAUUCCGGGGGGCAUGCCUGUCCGAGCGUCAUUGCUGCCCUCAAGCACGGCUUGUGUGUUGGGCUUCCGUCCCUGGCAACGGGGACGGGCCCAAAAGGCAGUGGCGGCACCAUGUCUGGUCCUCGAGCGUAUGGGGCUUUGUCACCCGCUCCCGUAGGUCCAGCUGGCAGCUAGCCUCGCAACCAAUCUUUUUAACCAGGUUGACCUCGGAUCAGGUCGGGAUACCCGCUGAACUUAAGC